GUUGAGGUCUACCCCAAUAGGGCUUUUUCUAUAAAACCUACAUUGUUGGAAAUGCCUCAGUAAUUAUGUAGUUUCCAUUACUCAUAGAACUACCUGUUAGAUCUGUGUGAAUGAACUACAAGAAAAAG
ensembl:snoRNA